rnacentral:siRNA from 1 species
CAACCACUAGGGUACUAUUCUUCC